UUAAACGUGUUUAAUUUCGGCGUUUAACAUAAACUUAGUUUCGUCAAACUGCGUUUCGCUUGUUUCUGAUGAAAAUGGGCCUAAAAAAAUAACUAAU
rnacentral:lncRNA from 1 species